UAGUCAACAAACACAUGGAAAGAUGCUCAGCAUCAGUAGUCACUAGGGAAAUGCAAAUCAAAGCCAUAAUGAGUACCACUUCAUACUUAGAUCACUACAAUACAAAACAAAAAGAAAGAAAAGAGAAAUAACAGGUGUUGGUGAGGAUAUGGAAGAAUUAAAACUCAUCAAUUGCUAAUGGGAAGUAAAAUGGUUCAGCCUCUGUGGAAAACAGUUUGGUGGUUCCUCAAAAUGUUAAACAGAAUUGCUGUGUGACUCAGCAAUUUCACUUCUAGGUAUACACCCCCCAAAAUUGGAAAUAGGUACUCAAACAAAUACAUGCACAUACAUGUUUAAAACAGCACUAUUCACAGUAGCCAAAAGGUGGAAAAAAUACAAAUGUCCAUUAAUGGAUGAAUUGACAAGCAACUUGUUUGGUUUAUAGAACUUAUCCAUACAAUGGAAUAUUAUUUACCAAAAAAAAAUGAAAUACUGAUACAUGCUACAACGCAGAUGAAACUUGAAAACAUGCCAAGUAAAAGAAGCCAGACACAAAGUUCACAUAUUAUGUAAUUACAUUUAUAUGCAAUAUCCAGGAUAGGUAAAUCCACAGAAACAGAAUACAGAUUGGUGAUUAUCAGAACUUACAAGGAGGAAGGAGUGAAGACUAACUGCUUUAUGGGUAUGAGGUUUCUUUUUGGGGUGAUGGAAAUAUUUUGAUAUUAGGUAGAGAUCACAGUUGCACAACAUUCUGAAUAUACUAAAUGCCACUGAGUUGUUUGCUUUAAAAAGAUUCAUUUUAUGUUACAUGAAUUUCACCUAACUUAAAAAAAGAAUUGAUGGCAUCAGGUCUGUUAAAUGUCCUGGUUAUGGGAGGCACAGAAUUUGGAAAAGAAUUCCUCAAUCAUGUUUCCAUCGAUGCAAGCCGCUGCAGGAAAUCUGAUGAAUUCACCAUCCACCAUGUGAACAGAACAAAUGUGUCUCCACCUACUCUGUUAGAAACCCUGUUUCCACACGUCCACUGUGGACACUCCGAGAUCCCUUCCCCGGGACGCGUUCUGAGACAUGGAGCCGACACCCAAUGCUGGCCAGGCAUGUUCGCGCUGACGUGGCUAGUCGUGGAAACUCUGGACCAGCCUUCCUGGCUGACCACUCCUUUCAGUCAUUAACAUUCUCUCAACACUAAACUGCUUAAUUUGGUUACACCACCCGCCUGUUUAGAAUGCAGGAGAUGCCUGCUUUUAUGUUUGAUUUCAGCAGGGCUUUCGGGCACUGAAGGUUUUCUGUGGGAUCCAAUGGCCUAGUUUGAGGUGAAUAAUCAGCUUUUUACUCAAUGCUCUCUCUCCCUUUUCAGCUGCAAACAUUCUCUGUCCUUUUCUAUUCCCAUGGUUAAGCACAGUGAAAUGCUACUUUCAGAAAGACGAGGGUGUCAAAACCCCUGGUGAUUUCUAACGCUUACAGAACACAUCGCAUAGGAGCAAUUCAGACGACAAAAAAGAGCACUCUUCAGUCGGGUUUACACUGUGUGCCUGCUCACCUACACAUCAGCAAACAUGAAUGCCUCGCCUGAGGAAUGACCGGGUUCUGAGUGAGUUCCUGGGCUGGCAGUAGGUUUGAAAUUCUAUAGAGGCAGGCAAGGGAGGAGGUGACUGGGGUAGAAUUACGGGAAGGGAUUAAUGAGGGGGUGCUGGCUGAACAUACUGCUUCACUGUUCUCCCAGUCACUAGACUGAGGAGUCACUGGUUUUUGCCUCCAGGACUGUACUUUUCUAACUUAAAACAAGCCUCUUUAAACAAAUCUGCAUGAGGCAAUGUGUCAACACUUCAUUGGUUUCAAUAGAAUUAGUUUUCUAAAUGCUCUUUUCUGAAGCAAUUUUUGUACUUGAAAAAGCAUUACAAGGAACAUUUACUAUAACUACAGUACAACGAUAUAGAAUAUGACAAGUAGGGUUUUAAUCAGUGCAGACUGCAACACCGAACACGCGCGACACCCACCCUCCCCCUUCUCCUUCAGCAUCCAUGUUAAUAAACUCAGGAACUUAAGGUUGUUUUUACUGGUAUUUGCUGUAAAUAAUAGCCAGGACUUUAAUUGUAUUUGCUCAGAAUGAACUAGCCUAACAGUUUUCCAAAGAUGCCUAGGCAGGUUGUGAUUUAAAAGCCUUAUGUAACUCAGGCCCUUUCCGCACCCCAUGCCAAGCGAACCAUAAGAUCGUUCUGCUGGCUGAGAGCUAACACGCCAAAGGCCUGAACAAAGUGGGGAAAGCACACAUCAGCACUCUAUGGUGGACUUGCCUGGGUCGAACUCAAAGCACAGCUAGAGGCAGUCGAGAGGGGCUGAAAAUUCAAUGCCCUGGUUCUGACGUGUUCUGCAGGACAUGCUCUCUGAUAUAACUCCUGUUUCCCAGGUCUUCUGUCUUCACUCCCAGGGGUGCUCUAUGCCUGCGCUCCCCAACCCCUGGGCCGCAGACUAAUCAGCUUGUUAGGAAGCAGCCGUGUCACCAGCUGAGCUUUGCCUGCCCCAACACCCCUGUCCAUGGAAAAUUGUGGUCCAUGAAGCUUAGGAAAUCGGCUACACAGCCAGAGGAGAUGGCUCAGUGGAACUGCCGGCCUGCCCAGACCUGGUGGACGGAGGUCCUGUGUGGGGGUCACAGGAUUGUCUUAGGUGGAGAUGGGACAAUCAGAAUCAUCAAUUGUAUUAAUAGUCGAACAGCAAUUGCCUGAAGCUGAGAACCUGCCCUUUAAAAGCUCUGUAUUUCUGCUAAUUAUGAAGAUGACGGCAUUUUUAGACAUGAAUAUCCAUCCUCCUCAUUUGCUGGCAAGUUAAUAAACUCCU